GACUUCACAAUUUCUCACAGUAAAAACUAGUAGUUCUGGCCAAAAUGAAUAUUGAAAAUAAAUCGAACUGUUUUUAAAAAAGAACUACCUAUUGCAUAAUUUAAAACAAAAAGGAACUGCCAUGUCUGAAAGAACAACAGAACAUUGGGCUUCGAUUUCUGCUUGGAUUGUUGUCUGUGACUCAGGCUAGACUGGAUGUAUCUGUGCUGGAUUCAAAUGUCAGCACCUUCAACUGAUUAGGUUCAGCUGGAAAUUGAUACUAAUGUUGAGAUUGGUAGAGCUUUAAUCUAUUUUCGCCAUGGAAAGGCUUGUUGGAUGGGUAGAACUGGAAUCUCUUCAGUUUGGAUUGGAUUGGAAGUGGCUGGAUUGACGAUAUCUGGUCGGGAACUGCACUUUAGCACCUAUUUUGCUUAAUUGUGGAUCACCUACGAUUUGUUCUAAUGAUUCUCAUUCAUCAAGGCCUCUCUGUAAAUUUGUUGAGGUUUUCAUAUUAUGAAAAACCUGAAUUCUACUUGAUUGGCUUAAUGUUGAACCAAAUUUGUAACGAAAGGAAUCUCGUUUCCUUUGUGAAUUGCUUCCCCGAACUGAAAUGGGGUCAGAGGUCUGAGUUCUGCCUGUUUUGUCAAGGAGUUGGAUGGAUUUUCAAACCAAAUGGCUUGAUUGUUUCGGAGUCUGAAGGCCCCUUGAGAUCAUAUGAUCUUGUUUGAAUUUUGUCAGUAUGACUUGAGAGUUUUUGUUUUGAUUGAAUUUUUGGUUGCCUUUAACCCUGUUCACCUCCUCUCAUAUUUAUAGAGAAUCUAAAUGAGGACUUAUUCCUUAAUAACUGGAGGACAUAUCUGUUGAGAGGAUUCAUUGUUCCAAUGCAAAAAAGGGGAUAUUGACUUAGUCUGACAAAAGAAAAAACCCCCAUCAAAAGUCAGUUUUUACGAUGAUCAGUUUUGAUCUUUUGUCAACCAACUCUCUUAUCUCUUGUUUAUCUCUCAUAAACCCCACUUACCCUAAUGCGAAAGAAACUUGGCCCUCUUUCUAGCAUUAAAUGGUUAUGGGGAGUGGUUUUC
rnacentral:lncRNA from 1 species